rnacentral:snoRNA from 1 species
GCUUCUGAUGAUGAUUCAAAUAAUACUUUCGUUCUUCCGAGGAUCUUAAUCCAUGCGGAAACAAUUAUUGGAGACCUGAACUGAAGAAGC